UUAAUCAUAUUAAUCUGUGACUAUUGCAUUAACAGCAUGUCAUCCUUACCCUUUCCGCUCUUUCAGAGAGGACACAGAGAGGCAGAUGACUGGAGAAAUGUGUGCUAAGGUGAAGCUGGCACAAAAGCAGCUUGCCCUCUGUCACUUCAGGCUGCUGCUGGGGCUAGAUCUGCCUCAACAGCACCAUAUGGCUUUUGACAGGAAGUCAAACCGGCGCCCGGCCCCGAACAAAAUCAUAACCCAGCAUUCCCCUCGGAUGGCAUCUCUGCUGCCUACUCCACAAGAAGAGGUCCAUCACCUGUUGGGGAAAUUCAGACAGCUUAAAAUGUCUUCAACUUAACACUUUGAUUUCAGAGGCUCUGACGGAGUUGCUUAUUGAGGAGCUAAAGUCACCUGGUUUUGAAAUUCUUGGGAAGCCUUUGAGCCAAUUCAGGAAGAGGACAACAAAACUACCUUUUGGUUUUUUGUGUGUUUUACAACAUGCAAAUUUCUUUCAACUAUUAUUUAUUGCCCUGGUUAUUGUCCACUGUGUUUUGCAUGAUGGUUACCGGCUACAAUCAUAUUUAAUUUUGAAAAAUAACAAUACAUGUCACUAGGUGGCACUUUCGAUGUUGUUAUUCAGUUCAGUCCUCAUGGAAAUGAUUCAAGACGAAAAAAAGAAAACAUGGAAUAAACUAAGAAAGCUAAGUAUGCAAAUGUGGGUAAAUAAAAUGUAUCACAUUACUUUUGUAUCAAAUAUUAGACAAAUGGCUUAUUAAUUUUAUAG